rnacentral:rRNA from 1 species
GAUAAGGAGCUUGCUCCUUUGACGUUAGCGGCGGACGGGUGAGUAACACGUGGAUAACCUACCUAUAAGACUGGGAUAACUUCGGGAAACCGGAGCUAAUACCGGAUAACAUAUUGAACCGCAUGGUUCAAUAGUGAAAGGCGGCUUUGCUGUCACUUAUAGAUGGAUCCGCGCCGUAUUAGCUAGUUGGUAAGGUAACGGCUUACCAAGGCAACGAUACGUAGCCGACCUGAGAGGGUGAUCGGCCACACUGGAACUGAGACACGGUCCAGACUCCUACGGGAGGCAGCAGUAGGGAAUCUUCCGCAAUGGGCGAAAGCCUGACGGAGCAACGCCGCGUGAGUGAUGAAGGUCUUCGGAUCGUAAAACUCUGUUAUCAGGGAAGAACAAAUGUGUAAGUAACUGUGCACAUCUUGACGGUACCUGAUCAGAAAGCCACGGCUAACUACGUGCCAGCAGCCGCGGUAAUACGUAGGUGGCAAGCGUUAUCCGGAAUUAUUGGGCGUAAAGCGCGCGUAGGCGGUUUUUUAAGUCUGAUGUGAAAGCCCACGGCUCAACCGUGGAGGGUCAUUGGAAACUGGAAAACUUGAGUGCAGAAGAGGAAAGUGGAAUUCCAUGUGUAGCGGUGAAAUGCGCAGAGAUAUGGAGGAACACCAGUGG